GAUGGAGGUUUUCGUGCUGCGAGGUGACGUGCCGCUGCUGUGAGAUUAGCGGACCACCCCACCCCACUCUACAGCCACAGCACAGAGGAGAGGUUGGGGAUGGGGGAGAACGAGAACGAAGCAAGGUCAUUAGCUCAAUGGCAGCUAGAUCAGUAUAACUCCAGACAUCACGCCACCACCGACCCCUCGAGUGUACGAGUGAUUGGGAGGAAUGAAAGUGAGCGUGAAUGGAGGCAAGAGGAGGCAGAGUGGAAACUGAAUGCAGUGUGAUAAGAGACAGAAGGGAUGAAUAAGUGGAGUGUGUGACCGAGUUAGGGCACUAUGAAGACGUGUAAGGAAUGGUGGUGGUGGUGGAGAAACUAAGUUGAGACGAGUGAAAGGGUUUCAGCCAGUUUUAGGACGGACAGAGGAGGGAAAUGGUGUUAGUGAGUUAGGGCUUAUUAUGGAUGAAAUGAAGACGUGAAGGGAAAGUGUGGUGUUGAAAAUGUGUAGAGACGAGUGAAAGGCAGUGAAGGUGUGUUUAGGGCAAUGUUGCGUUAGAUGUAGGGAUAAUUAGUAAACAAGGUAUUGCUGUUUUGUUAAUUUUGUCCAUUACAGGAGUUGACUAUCCGAAGGCCUGACUCGCAGCGGCAAUGAGCCUCGUGUACCUUGCAUUACCUACGCCACCGCCGCAAGAUGAGGGAAGAAGAGCUGUUUGGUAACCAUAUUUAGGGCCCAUAUCACCCCCGAAGCUCAUCAUGGGUGUAACCACCUAGAACCUGGGUAUCAUGGUGACACGUAGGAGUUGGUGAUCCAAAAGCCGCCCCACAGCCGCUACUGCUACUCGGAGGGUUUCUGCCUUGCAUCGGGCCUUCACUGCCGGCCCGCUAACACGUGCCGCCGUCGCCGCUACUGACAGGGAUUUCGCCUCGCUGCGGCCUGGCAAACACCUUCUACGUCGCCGCUAUUGACACUGAGGGACUUCGCCUCGCAGCGGCCUGGCAAACACCUGCUACAUCACCACUACCGCUGCCGCCGCCGUCCAGUGAGAGAUUCAUCUCUGACAUCCUGCCAUUCAACGCCUGCUGCCACCACCACCACCUCCUUAUGGUUCUGUCACUGUACUGAAGCUGUUGUCAUGAUUGAAUAAUAAAUUGUGAAGAAAU
rnacentral:lncRNA from 1 species